rnacentral:rRNA from 1 species
AAACUGAUCUUCCCGUGAAGAAGCGGGAAUAUACCUAUAAGACGAGAAGACCCCAUGGAGCUUUAAAUCCAACAGCACCUAUUACCCAUAUAUCUUUAUAUUUUUUUAGCAAAUGCUCGUUCGGUUUUAGGUUGGGGUGACCAUGGAGUAAAAAAUAACCUCCACGAAAAAAGGCAUAAAACCCUUAUCAAAGAGCCACAUCUCUAUGAAUUAGUAAACUAAUUUCUGAUGAUCCGAUAUUCGAUCAACGAACCAAGUUACCCUGGGGAUAACAGCGCAAUCCGCCUUAAGAGCCCCUAUCGACAGGCGGGUUUACGACCUCGAUGUUGGAUCAGGGUAUCCCAGUGGUGCAACAGCUACUAAAGGUUCGUUUGUUCAACGAUUAAAACCCU